UCCCUGGUAGCUCAGACGGUAAAGCGUCUGCCUGUAAUGCAGGAGACCCGGGUUCAAUUCCUGGGUUGGGAA
rnacentral:tRNA from 1 species